CGCGGCCUAUCAGCUUGUUGGUGAGGUAAAGGCUCACCAAGGCAUCGACGGGUAGCUGGUCUGAGAGGACGAUCAGCCACACUGGGACUGAGACACGGCCCAGACUCCUACGGGAGGCAGCAGUAGGGAAUCUUGCGCAAUGGGCGAAAGCCUGACGCAGCAACGCCGCGUGGGGGAAGAAGGCUCUAGGGUCGUAAACCCCUUUCAGCAGGGACGAAAAUGACGGUACCUGCAGAAGAAGCGCCGGCCAACUACGUGCCAGCAGCCGCGGUAAUACGUAGGGCGCAAGCGUUGUCCGGAUUUAUUGGGCGUAAAGAGCUCGUAGGCGGUUCAGUAAGUCGGGUGUGAAAACUCAAGGCUCAACCUUGAGACGCCACUCGAUACUGCUGUGACUUGAGUCCGGUAGAGGAGUGUGGAAUUCCUGGUGUAGCGGUGAAAUGCGCAGAUAUCAGGAGGAACACCAGCGGCGAAGGCGGCACUCUGGGCCGGUACUGACGCUGAGGAGCGAAAGCAUGGGGAGCAAACAGGAUUAGAUACCCUGGUAGUCCAUGCCGUAAACGUUGGGCACUAGGUAUGGGAUCAUAUCAACGGAUUCCGUGCCGUAGCUAACGCAUUAAGUGCCCCGCCUGGGGAGUACGG
rnacentral:rRNA from 1 species